UCCGAUUCAACCUAGCUUUGGUUAGACCAUUGUCGUAAUAAAAUAUAUGCUAUUAGUAUUUUAACAAUUUGCCUUGGGCUUAACAAUUUUUUUUUCUUUAGUAAACUUUAUAAGAUAUAUAUAGAUUCUUGUAUUUAUCAGAGCUAAUCACUUAUUUGAUGACAUACUGCCGAGGAGAAAAAAGGAAGAACGAGAGAAAGAUCUCAGCGGAGAAGAUGCGGCUAAAGCGGGCUAAAUUCAAAGGGAAAGUGAAAAAACCUUCAAAAGACGACUUAAAGAAAUAGUGACUUAAUGGCCCAGCCCAAUUGAACCUAAUUUGACGCUUGCCAAUAUUGUUCGUCAUAGGGAUUACAAUGAAGAGAUGCGGUGGGAUGAAUGAGGUCUUCCAUGAGAUGGAUGUACUUGUAAUUUUAUGGGAAAUGCUUUUGCCUAGCUCUAUGUAUGUAUUAAGAAAUCUACUAAAUGUUUUUAAAUAUUUGACUGUAAAUCCAGUUGUUAUCGUAUAUUAACUUGAGGUGGUUGUUGAAACUCAUAAGUUCCAAAUUUUGGAUCUGUGUGUGAA